rnacentral:rRNA from 1 species
UGCAAGCUGGCGGCAGCCUAAUACAUGCAGUCGAACGCUUCUACUAGUUGAGUGCUUGCACUCAGCUAGUUAGAGGAGUGGCGGACGGGUGAGUAACACGUGGGUAACCUGCCCAUAAGUGGGGGAUAACAUUCGGAAACGGAUGCUAAUACCGCAUAAUUCUGAUUGCCGCAUGGCAGACAGAUGAAAGGUGGCUUCGGCUACCGCUUAUGGAUGGACCCGCGGCGUAUUAGCUAGUUGGUGAGGUAAUGGCUCACCAAGGCAAUGAUACGUAGCCGACCUGAGAGGGUGAUCGGCCACACUGGGACUGAGACACGGCCCAGACUCCUACGGGAGGCAGCAGUAGGGAAUCUUCCGCAAUGGACGAAAGUCUGACGGAGCAAUGCCGCGUGAGUGAAGAAGGUUUUCGGAUCGUAAAACUCUGUUGUUAGAGAAGAACAAGGAUGAGAGUAACUGCUCAUCCCCUGACGGUAUCUAACCAGAAAGCCAUGGCUAACUACGUGCCAGCAGCCGCGGUAAU